UGUCUGCAGUCCCCACGCUCUCCAAAAUCAAUCUCGGAGAGCAAGGCAGUGUUUUGCUGAGAUUAAGCAGAUUUGCAAAUUAGGAAGAUUAAAUGGAAAUGUAAUGAAAUGAAAAUUAAAUGUCCUUCUAUUUUUUUAUUAUUAUUUUUUAUUUUUAUUAUUUUUUUGAGAGAGACAGAGACAGAGACAGAGAGGAAGGAAGGAAAAAAAAAGGAAAAAUCGCCCUUUCCUGGGAGGUGUCUUUUGAGUGAUCCCCCAAAACGCCUUUCCCGGAGCAGCUCCCUGUCAAACUACACGCGCUCCCGUCCGGAGGGACUGAAAAGUGAUUCAAACUCUCCGGGAAGCACAGACAUUUUUAAUUCCAUCUGAUGCAGCAGCUCGGAAAGCAGCGAGAUCAGCCACCGGGGCUGCAAAGGAGGCUCUCUGCCUCCUCAAAUCCCCCAAAAGCAGAGCGGUUUUACUCAUCAAGGAAACAGCCGAGAAAAAGAAGGAUCGGAGGCACUCACCAGAGCGUAGACCGAGCUCAGCACGGAGCAGCAGAGGAUCAAACCCAGGCUGUGAUAAACCAGAUAUGAUCCCAUAUCCAAGGGGCUCCUUCCAGCAUCCACGCUCUCUCGGGGAAGUUGGAGGACGGAGAGGUCUUCCAGCGCUCCGCUUGCAGAUGAUUUCUCCUUCCCUCCCUCCAACCUCCCCCCCCCUCCACCUCACUCUCCAGAACCGGUGUUUGUUUGUUUGUCUGUUUGUUUGUUUGUUUGUUUUAGCCGGAAAGGCACAUGACGAGAAAGCCCGGUCCUUUGCUUCGCUUUCUCAUGGCUGGAGAUGCGGGCAGCUCCCGAAAGGCAGCGGAGGAGCCCAUGCGAAGAAGCGGAGCGACUUCGGCUUCGCUCAGCGCCGCAGCCCCCGGUGCUGGUUGUUUUCCGCGUGCAUCUGUCUCAGAGCAGAAAAAUCACAUCCAUAUGUCAAAGCCGCGCUCUUCUGUUUCCUUUUUAUGAGGCAGUGGGAAGUUCAAAUAAUUUCUUUGUCAAACGCAAACACACAGAAAGAGGCAGAGAGGGAGGGAGGGAGGGAGAAAGGCGAGAGAGGGGUGGAAGGGGUGGGAGAUCGGAGAGGGUGGGGGAGGCUUUAAACCACGGCUUUAUUUUUAGAUCCAGUAAUUUUAUCUUUUGGGUUUCGGAGGGGUUUGGAAAGAAAGAGAGAGAGGGAAAAAAAAAAAAAAAAGCCUUUUUUUUUCUUUUAAUUCUUUUUCUCCACUUUCGCCACACGAACGGCUCUCAGAGCAGAAAGUUACGGGGAAAAAAAAUAGCGAAAACUUGGAGAUAUUUUCCCUCCUCAUUUACUUUUUCUUCGCAAACAGCGGUGCUUUUGGGGGGGACCUUUUCCUCCUUUUUUUUUUUUUUUUUUUCCUUGCUGGUGUAUCGCCGCGCGUUUCGCCUCCACAAUAGGUUUAUUCUCCAGCCCUCCGGGUCGAAGUGUGUUUCAGUUACAAAUCGGGAUUUUUUCGCUCCUCUCUCCCCUCUCUGCCUCAGAGGAUCUGCAGUUUCAAAAAGCCGAUUGAACACGGCGUGAAAGCGUGAGGCUGACGACUCCCCCGCCUCCUACCGCCACUCUCUCUAGUCCUCGUUCCGUGCCCCGCAAGGAGGAGCCCCCCGCGGAACCCCUGGCGCAUCGCAUCCCCGCUUUCCCCCCCUCAUGUCCCCAGCACCUCGCACCCCUCGUGGAUGUCACCAGCAUCGCAGUUUCAAGGCUGGGGAUGGUGCUCCCAGCUCAGCCGGGCGCUUUCAUUCAUAAAAUGGCAAGGUAAAUAUAUGUAUAUAUAUUCAUAUAUAAUAGGAAAACAGGAUAGCCCCCCCAAAGCCACGCCGCUGGGGGUGAAGCUCCAGCAGCCGUCCCCUGAUCGGGUUUAUUUUCGGCGUGGGAGAAGAAGCGAGGAGGGGAGGGGGGGGACAGGGAUGCACCACGCGGGACACAGCGCUGCGCUGCGGGCUGACUCACUGGGGGAACUUUGGACAUCAACUCCUGCGCUUUGCUUUGCAUUGCUUCGCUUCUCUUUUCCUUUCAACUUUUUCUUUCUUUCUUUCUUUCUGCCCGGAUUUUGUGAUUAGGAGCUAAAUAAGCAGAGAGAAAGCCCAAAAUAAAAUAAAAUACCGAAAAAAAAAACCCCAAACCAAACCGAACAGACCUCUAUACCCCGCCGGAGGGCAGACGGUAAAAACAACGCGUUUUCGCCGAGCGGAGCUGCGCGCAUUUCUCUUUUAUUUUUUGGAGCGAAGAGAGAAAAAAAAAAAAAAGAGAGAGAGAGAGAGAGAGAAAAAAGCCUCUACAGUCGGUUAGUUGCUUUUUUUUUUUUUUUUUCACGGCCCCAUGGCUGUGAAUAGGUGCCUUCAGCUAAUUUUAUGAAAAGGGGCUCUUUCCAAGGCUAAGGUAGAGUAGGGCUUCCUGUAAGAGAGAGAGAGAGAGAGAGAGAGAGGGAGGGGGAAAAGAAGUGUUGCUCUUGAUGCAAUCUUUUCCUCCUCCUUCUUCUCCUCCUCCUCCUCCUCCUCCUCCUUGCGAGCCCUCUGCCUCUCCCUGCCAGCCCCGACAGAUCUCCGCACCGCGGGGGGAGAAGGGUAGGUAUAAAAGCCCCCCCCCCUUCCCCCCCCAGGGGUUGGCCCCCAUUGAUCAGCCGUACUCAGCCUUUGACCGACGGGCUGCGAGGCACGGGGUCAUCCCGCAGCCCUCCCACCGCACCGCACCGCACCGCAUCCCACCCCCCGUCCCACCCCCUGCGCUCCGGUUGGGCAAUGCGUGCUGAAGGGGGCACCCACACGAAGGGUUGGGAGAAAGGAUUUAAAAGCCACGAAGCCAACCCCCCCUCCCCAUCCACCCCAACGCCAUCAGUCUGUCCCACUGCCCCUCAUCCACGCUGUUCCCAAAUUUAUGUCCCACAUAGGGAUUAAAAAUACACUUAUUGAGGGAGGUGGGCUCAAAAAGGGGGUUCCUGAGAGGGGAUCCUGGGGGAAUCCUGGGGAAGGUAUUUCCACCUCUGCUGCUUUAUUUCAUUUCAUUUCAUUUGGGGGGGGCUGUUGGCUCACUUCUCUCCAAUCUGCUCAACCAAAGGGGUGGGACAGCCUCCAUCCCUGGUGGGAGCUGAGCGUCUGUGCGUGUUUAAGUAUAGGCAACUGAGCAAAUGUGUACCCGAGGCUCUAUAGUCUGUCUGAGAAGAAGGGGGGGAAGAAAAAUAACUCUGCUGCAAAGUUUCAUGAGUCCCAUAGCAUCUCUUUUGCUGUUUUUUUUAAAUUUAUUAUUAUUUUUUGGGUGGGAAAGAGGGAAGGAGCAAGAGAACGCCUCAUAUAUUGCAUUGCUCCCCACCUCCUGCUGCUACUGGGUGGUGAUGCAAAUAAAGCAGGAUCUGAUCUGGUUUAAGAGACAUCCAGACUUUGGUCACCCCUUUGUAUCCAGUCCCUCGUGUGCUGGGACUGGGCCAGGGAUGCCUUUAUGCUGGUAAUUUCUCCAUCCAAUCAUUUAAUGAUUAAGGGCAGAUACUGCUGAACUGCUGAAGCUGUGCAAGAAGGAAACUUUUCCCUCCCUCCAACCCCAGCUCAAAGUUGGCCCAGCAGAGCCCCACUCUUAUGGCCACCAAGAAUAUGGCAGAUGUUAUUCUGGAUCCCUGUUAUCUUCAAACAAUGUAAACCCAACACCACAGGAUUCCCCAAAUCCAAUUGCAGCAGUCUGCGUUUCCUUCGUUGCUCCUUUCUGGGAAGAUAGGAGUUGCAAGGGCUGCAGGUCUUUGGAGUCAUGAGCAUCAAAUGCAGCUCUAAAGAGCAGUUUCUUCAAGUAGAGGAUGUAACCCAGCUCCCAUGGCACUCAGUGCAAGAUAGGAGUGAGGCCAGAUGAGGUGGGCAGAGCAGGCUUGUGGGAGCUGAGCAGUUGGACUGUAUGACUGAGGGCCCUCUAAAGACACAGUGAAUCACACAAUCAUGGAAUCAUUAAGGUUUGGAAAAGACCUCUGAGAUCACCAACCCCAACCCACCCCACCAUGCCCAUUGCCCACAUCCCUCAGUGCCACAUCUCCAUGGUUCAGGAAAACCUCCAGGGCUGGUGACCCCACCACCUCCCUGGGCAGCUGUGCCACUGCAUUGCCACUCUUUUGGAGAAGAAAUGUUUCCUAACAUCCAAUCUGAACCUCCCCUGAAUCAACUUAAGGCCUAAACCAUGGCUGGGGCUCUCAGUCAGGCACCAGAGGAAAGCAUGUGAGAAUUUCCCAAUUUGCAUCAUUCCAGCACUUCUCUUCCCAAGCAAACUGCCCAGUUCUUUCCCCACAUGAAAAGGGUCUCUCUCUCUGCCUGACUCAUUGGGUGCUGAGGAUCAAGCCCUCCGCUUUUAGGUCCUACCGCCAUUGGAAAUCCGGAUUUAUGCGAGGUCAAACACGAAACAGCUGAGUUUGCUCAUUUUUGGGGGGCAGUGCCCCAGGAAAAUGCUUUUAUUAUCUCUAUUCAUCCCCAGACAUUGUGUAUUCUCUCAGCCAGGGUUACAAGGCAACUCUUCCCCCUCUCUGCAGACCUUUGAGAGGGGAAUGAGCUCUUCUGCACAUCCAGAUGUCUGCUGUUGUUUGUCCGGUCUCUUCCCACUGGGGGGCACAGGACUCCAUUCUCCAGCAGAUCUGUUCCAGGCAUCUCUUUAUGUCAAGGCAAAGGUAAUUUGGACAUCUAAGUUUUGUUUUGUUUUUCUUUCAGAUUGUAUCCAUGAAUGUGUGUAUAAUGAACCCAGAAGGAAUGCAGCACUAAAAGAAGCCUUUGUAAUGUUGCUAUUUUAAGGAGACCCUUGGGUAUGGCACGUGUUGAACUGAGUUUCUCCAACAUCUUACAACAAACCAAAAUGUUUAGAUCCUCCUACUGAUGUAAGACAGCAUAAAAAAAAUACAUAAUCAAUCUAAACUGGCUAAGGUUUUGACCAGGAAUUAUUGCUCCUGUGAAUUGGCUCUGUAUUGUAGCUAACUUUUACACAGCCUAAUAAUAAACAUCUCCUCCUCCCAGCUGGGUGAAUGUUUCCCCUCUGCUGGAGAUCAGGUCCCAGUCUGGAUAAAACACCUCUUGUCCUUUCUCUCCUCGGUCACUCAGGUUCAGUGAAACAUCAUGACUUACAUCAGCCAAAGCCUUUGAUCAGGGAGGGAAAGGUCUGACAUGGAUGGGGUUGGCAGCCACGCUGCAAGAAUCCCUCAUUGUGCAAGAAGCCAGUCCAAUGACCGACUGUCACCAAGGGUGAGACAGCCUUUUCUGCUCUGUUUGCUCUGUUUUCACUUGGCUAUUGCUGGCGUUUUGUUUGCAAAAUCAAGGCCAAAAUAUACAAGAAGCAGCUUCGAACAUGUUGGGUUUGUGCAUUAAGCCAGAUAGCCAUCAUGAAUUUCUGGCCAUUUUUGUUGUAUGUGUUGUAAAGAGCAGAAUUUUGCUGUCAGCAUUUUGUUUUCACAUGGUCAGAGAGGAGAAGGAGUAUAAUAGAGGUCCAAUUGACACUGUUUACACAAAGAUGAAGUCGUAACUCUUGGCUGAGAUGACUGUGGAAGUGGUGUGUGAUGGCUUCUUUGUUGGCUCUUUAAGAAAACAUCUGCUCUGGAUCUCGUGGACAAAAUCUAGGGUGAAAAAUUCUCUCAUUGCAAAAUGAGAAGCCGGAUGAAAAGCCCAGAGAAGCUGUGGGUGCUCCAUCUCUGGAGGUGCUCAAGGCCAGGUUGGAUGGGGCCCUGGGCUGCCUGAUCUGGAAGGUGGUAAUCCUGCCCAUGGCCCCGGGUUGGGGCUGGAUGACCUUUGAGGAUGUUUCCAGCCUAGGCCGUUCUAUGAUUCUAUGAGUUUCUCCAAUAGCAUCCAGCACUCAAGGAACAGGGCUGCUUUGGAAAUGUAUGUCAGAAUAAGAAAAAUACAUUUUUUGUACUCACACAUUGAACAGCGAAUGAAUGCUCAAGAAGAAUGAGGGUGAGAAUUGAAUCCAUUAAAACACUUUCUGGGACAAUAUUUUUGCUUUCAGCAGCUUUCUCUUCUGCUUUGCUUCAAUUCCUUCUAAACUCUGCUCCCCUUCCUCCAGGUGGUAUGAAAUAAAAAACAGUAAUAAAUAGAUUUUUCUAUAUAGGAAAAAAAUCAAAAACAAAUAAAAAUAUAUUUUUAAAAAUUUAGAUUUCUCUGUAAAGACUCUUCAUUAAGUACACAGAAAUGCUUGUGAUAUGUGGCCAUAGAUGGGCUGUACGCCUCUUCUAAUGCCCUGCAGUAUGGUUUACAAGGUGACUCAGUAACUGGGGCGAAGUCAUCGUGGUGGGUUUGGGUGCCCUACAUGAGAAGACGCAGAAAAUGUGUCAGAAAAAGGAUCACAGACCUGAAAAUGGUUUGGGAGAAGAGAGAGAUGAGGCGUGUGGAGUUGAGGUCUUGGGUUAAGGCAACAAAGGAGUGUUGGAGGUGACAGAUGAACCCAAAGGCAUUUUGCAUCUUAAGCAGGCCAGAUGGGUUAGCAAAGUCACCAGUAGAACACAAUUGUCAGUGGCUCCAUACAGUGACCUUUAGCUGAAACAAAGCUAUACAAAAGGAGCUCAGGGCAUGCAAGUAGGUGAAGGAAAAUCCUCAUCAGCAAUAGGCUUGGCAUCCAUUUGGUUGUGUUUUCAUGCAGACAAGGUGGGGCAGACAGGCUCUACACAGCAACACGUGCUCUUGCCUUAUCCCAUCUCUGUUGUUCUCCUUGCUGUAGGCUGAUGCUUUGGACCCAGAAAGACACAAGUGGGAUGGAGAUCAGAGCCCUGGGCUUUUCCCCGCAGACCAGCAACUGGUGCCAUUUCUGGCUGAUUCUCUACUUUUCUCUUCCUAGUGAGGGUCUUUUGUUAUUUAUCAGCUCCUUUCAAAGCAACAGCCUGAGAGAUUUCACAAUACUUUUCACAUAUGGUUACUCAGCCUGGGGCUCUCCACAGCUUAGCUGUUUCAGUGAUAUUUGCACAGCACUGAGCAACAGCAUUCCUGACCUGCAGGAGAAGUGAGUGCCUCAAACCUCCUUUUCUCCAUAUACACAAGAUCUUUUUUUGCUCUUAAAAAACCCCAGACCCCUCUCCCCAUCCCUGCCAGUUGCACGGCAGACUGGAUGUCCCUGGCAGCACACUUGGGCUUGCAUCCAUUUUUCUUCUUUGUGUGUGUGUGCGUUGUCAUCCAAUGCAUGGCCAGAACCAAAGGAAAACUCAUGUGUGUGUUGUCAUCCAAUGCAUGGCCAGAACCAAAGGCAAACUCCAUUUGGGAGGUGAGCAAGGAAAACCCCUCCAAAACAGCCAGGAGCUGAAAAGAUUUGGCAAGCUUUGCAGGAGAAAACUGCCAGCAGGGAAAGACGAGGUGGAGGCAUUACUCUGACAGAAGAAGCUCUGAUUAGCAGAUUAUCACUUAAGUGAUGUUGAUCCCAGCCACGCUGCCUUCCAAAUGAGCCCUUUCACAGCUGCCAGCUGCACCACGGAGUCGUGAAUGUAAAUGAGUGGGCCAGAUCCUCUGCUGGCAUCCAUCGACGUGGCUUUGAUGGACCAUCCUGGAUCUACAACAGCCGGAGGAGUGUGGCUGUCGUGGGAGCCUGACUUGCUAUGCAGAUUUCUUUGAGAGCCUGUGGGAAAGGGCCUGAAGCUGGAUGUACUGCAGGAUAGGGCAGCAUCAACUGCACAGCUGGAGGGACCCUUGAGACUUUGACUUUUGCUGCCAAACAAAGCCAUCUUUUUGCUGAGCUUGUAAACUGUUCCCUGGUACCGUACGCCAGCAUAUAGCAUCCUGCCCUCAUAAAGCUCUACUUAUCUCCAUCCAACUUCUUGGGCUGAGCGUGUGGGAAGCAUGUGAGGGACACUCAUGAGCAGCCUUGCAUUCUCCGAGCUGUGCUUUCCCCUGGGGGUGAGCAUUCCCCUAAGUGCACAGUCCAUUUCAGCUCUGAUAAGUCUUCAGAGGUGAUGGCCUGGAACCUGCAGAGCUGGUGGUGAGGUGGGAACAAGCUCUCUUUGUGAGGCUGCACCAGCUUGCUGGGUGUGCUGGGUGCACUGAAUGAAAUCUUUCAUUUGGUUCCUCAGAGAGUCUAGGAAGAUCCUCAGCUUUUGUCCUGAAUGGGAUUGUAGCCCAGUCCAGGGAAAGAUCACAAAUACCAAGGCUUAGGUUAUUGGAUUGAAUCUUGCUUUGUUAGUGCAACCAUGCUGUGGACUUGGACUUUCAGCCAAGGAAAGAGAGUGCUGCAGAGGCGUGAUCGAAAAGAGGAGGUGGAUCUGUAAAAAUGAUGAUGAGAGUAAUGGGGAAUGGUUAUUGGGUGCCUCUCCUAGUAAAGACAUUGGGAACACAAGACUGAAAUUUUUGGGACAGGUGAAGUGCAAACAAAAAGAGGUGGUUUUUUUUCGUUUGUUUGUUUGGUUUUUUUUUAAUAAUGGUUGUUCCAUAAGUAAUGCCUCCUAUUUUAUUAUGUUGACCUACAACGUCAGAGGUGGAUGUUGGUAGUAUGGUAGUAGAGGUUAAACCUUCCCACCAACAUCCCAUUACAUUUUGUUGCCACGUGACAGAUAGCAGUAGAAGGGUAUUGACAAAAUGAUGUCUGACACAGAAGUGCAUAUGAAGCAAAAGUGUGUCACUGAAUUCCCUCAUGUGGAAAAAAUGGCACUCACUGACAUUCAUUGAUGCUUGCUGAAUGUUUAUAGAGACCAAACAAGUGUGAGCACAGUGAGGCACUGAUGACAGCAACGUGAAAGACAAGCCACAUUCUAGACAUCCAUGCAGAUUUCACAAGUUGGCAUGCAGUCUCUUGUUCAUUGCUGGCAAAAAUUCAUUGAUAUUGGUAGUGGCUAAGUUGAAGAAUAGAGCUUUGUAGCUGAGAAUUUGCUCUAUCAAAUACUUCUAUUGUGCUCCUUGUAUCUGUUGUAGUUUCCAUGGAAAUAAAUGGGAGGCAUUACUUUCAGAGUCAUCUACAUAUAUUGAGAAGGUGAUUUUCUAUUCUCACAGAAGGCAUACUUGACCUCUGGCCACGUCCAUCCAAUCUGACAGACUGGUCUUCGGAGAAUGGUGACCAAGAAUAAGCUCCAUGUCCCACAUGCCACCUGUUCAUCUGCACCGCUCCCUCUCCAGCAGCUCAUGGGCCAUGCCCAGCCUAUGUGUGACACCUCUCUGGCUGCUCAGAUGGAAAGUAAGAGCUUGGAGAGUGAGGACAGCAUGGAGUUAUGGAAGACAUGGCUACAAGAGCAUUCUUUCUCCAUCUCCAUGUGCUUCUGAAGGACCAGUCUGAUUCUGGCUCCUGCCAAGUUAGGAUAUGCUAUGAUUCUGUGAACACUUUUUGCAGCAAGUCAGCCAUAAGAAACAACAUACUCUCAGACAAUCAAGCCUCCAAAUUAAGGUGGGGAGACUUGUUGUGAAGGAGAUGGUUUUUUUUUUCCUACUGUAGAAGGGAUGUUCAAUGCUAUAGUGACAAGGAACAAUUCUUCAGCCUUAGACAGCAGAAAGAAGAAACAUAAAGAGACUGUACAGUUCUUGGGACACCGAGACAACUAUCUACGUGCUUUGUGGAAGCAGAGACAAGUAUGAGAUUUGGCUUUCUGGGCUAUGAGGGCACACAGCUGGCUCACAUCCAGCUCCCAUCCACCAUUUAGAUAAGAUACUAUUGCUUUUAAUAAAGACAAGUCAAAGAUCUUCUCCUAAGUGCUCUUAAAGAACUCCAGCAUUGUGUCUACAAUAAUCCAUCCGCCUUAAAGGAUCCAGCAGUACAUCACCACCAGUGGAUAUAAGAAGUAAUUAGUCAUCAUUUAGGGAAGUAAGAUUUAACAGUUAUUUUGUUGGCAGAAGUGCCGUGAUAAAAAUGGUACUCUGAAAGUUAUUUGGUAUUUCUCAUUGUUGCCAGAGUUCUGAACAUUUUGAUAGGAUGAACAUAGACUUCGGUAGGAAAGUUGUGGAUUUUUUCCCCUCCAUUUAGUAGAAAUAUAAAUGUUACAAAAUAAAUAAUGAUAGAAUAUAUGUGUAUAUAUUUUCAAUGCAUAUUUUAAAAUGCAUAUGAAAUGCAUUUUUUAAAAUAUUUUGUUCAAAUAUUUUUACUAAUGUUGUAUACCUUGCAUCUGUGAAGAGGGUUAUCCCUUAAACAUCCUUUCUUCAGACAGUACUGGGAUUCAUCCUCAGGCCCCGUUAUCUUGCUCUACGUUUCCUAGAGUCCAUCUAUAUAAUAAAUCAGAAUACUGCAUGGUUACACAUCGUAAUUAUUUUUUAAAAUUAUUUUUUAUUUUUUUGCUGAUUGGGGAAAUGGUGAAAACUGGUUUUUGCAUAUUUCAACAAUGUUACUCAGCCAAGUAAAAGAACAAGGGAGCAGAAUGGAAGAGAAAUGAAGAAAUGGAAGGAAGGAAGGAAGGAAGGAAGGAAGGAAGGAAGGAAGGAAGGAAGGAAGGAAGGAGGGAAGGAGGGAAGGAGGGAAGGAAGGAA
rnacentral:lncRNA from 1 species